rnacentral:tRNA from 1 species
GGGGAUUUAGCUCAGUGGCAGAGUGCUUGCCUAGCAAGCACAAGGCCCUGGGUUCGGUCCCCAGCUCCA